rnacentral:rRNA from 1 species
UGUCGGGGUGCCUAAACAGCACCCCAUAGCAAGGGCCGGGCAAGGCCGGUGGCAGCCGCCGCGGUAAGACCGGCGAAAAGAGUGGCGGCCACUCUUAUUGGGCCUAAAGCGUCCGUAGCCGGCCCAGUAAGUCCCCCGGGAAAUCUGGUCGCUUAACGAUCAGACUUCCGGGGGAUACUGCUGGGCUAGGGACCGGGAGAGGCCGAGGGUAUUCCCGGGGUAGGGGUGAAAUCCUGUAAUCCCGGGAGGACCACCUGUGGCGAAGGCGCUCGGCUGGAACGGGUCCGACGGUGAGGGACGAAGGCCUGGGGAGCGAACCGGAUUAGAUACCCGGGUAGUCCAGGCUGUAAACGAUGCGGGCUAGGUGUCACCGGAGCUACGAGCUCCGGAAGUGCCGGAGGGAAGCCGUUAAGCCCGCCGCCUGGGAAGUACAACGGCAAGGCUGAAACUUAAAGGAAUUGACGG